UACGUAGGGGGCUAGCGUUGUCCGGAUUUAUUGGGCGUAAAGAGCGUGUAGGCGGCCAUGUAGGUCCGGUGUGAAAACUCGAGGCUUAACCUCGAGAUGUCAUCGGAAACCAUUUGGCUAGAGUCCGGAAGAGGAGAGUGGAAUUCCUGGUGUAGCGGUGAAAUGCGCAGAUAUCAAGCGGAACACCGGUGGCGAAGGCGGCCUUCUGGACAGUGACUGACGCUGAGACGCGAAAGCGUGGGGAGCAAACAGG
rnacentral:rRNA from 1 species